UGGCGGACGGGUGAGUAACGCGUGGGUAACCUGCCUCAUACAGGGGGGAUAACAGUUGGAAACGGCUGCUAAUACCGCAUAAGCGCACAGUACCGCAUGGUACCGUGUGAAAAACUCCGGUGGUAUGAGAUGGACCCGCGUCUGAUUAGGUAGUUGGUGGGGUAACGGCCUACCAAGCCGACGAUCAGUAGCCGACCUGAGAGGGUGACCGGCCACAUUGGGACUGAGACACGGCCCAAACUCCUACGGGAGGCAGCAUG
rnacentral:rRNA from 1 species